rnacentral:lncRNA from 1 species
CCAUAAUUCCAGGGCGACAGAUAGAUAACAAGCUGCACAUUCCUUAUCACAUAUGGAAUCAAUCUGAAAGGAGUCUCUUGAUCAAAAUCUGUUAAUUGCAGUGACAUGUGAUUGGGAAAGAAAACACAAUUAAUGACCCUUCGUGUUACGGCUUGGGGAAGAGGCCACUGACACUUGGCGUUUUACAGCCCGCCAACUUCUUUUUUUUAAAAAUUAUUUGUUAACUCUUAGACGGAGCCGUUCAGCAAAACCUCGCGUUUGUUUUGUCUCCUCUUCUGCAGGGCUUCCCCGGCGGGGGCGAGUGUGUGUGUGUGCACGAGCUUCCUUAAAGGUUUGGGGAGCCAAAAUGAUUUAGUGCCUUGUCUGUAAAUCUAAUGACCUAAGGAUAUCCUUUUCCUUCAAAGUCUCCAGAAAUUACAAGACAUGCCGCUUUUAUGGGGCCAUUUGUUAGGAGACUGACAAGGUUGUUGGCUUUGUAGCACCAGCAGGGAUAAAGGUCUUAUGAUGGCACAGGGCCAUGGAUUGUUGUGGCAUGGAUGCCAUGGUAAUCUUUACAUAAGAGUGUCUGUGUAUCUGUUAGCAGUGGAAAGAUUGCAACUUUCUUCUUUCAGAAGAUGGAGAAAGAUACAACAAGGCAUUGAGAUCCAUGAAGCUGUCCAUAUGUCGUAGCAAUAUUGAAUGUACAGAAUCAACAUACAACUUUAAGAUUAUUUUUGUGUUCCAGACAAAAUUUUCUGAACACUUGGAUUGUGGCACAGAAUUCUGCAGCAAGUAGUUGGGAACAGAGUAGAUUAUGUUGCAAAACAAUGUAUAAACUCAUUAUAUAAUAUAGUUGUUUAGAAAUGUGGAUGUAUAACAUAGAUGGGAUGGUAAAAUGACAGCAUGUCUAGCUCUACAAGGACAUAACUGCACUCCUGAACAAUCUCUGAGUAUGUAUUCAGAGCCCCUACUCAGCACUGCUAAUGGCAUUGUGGAAAACCAAAAAUACCCUUCUUAGUAGAGGCAGUGUUGAACACUUCAUUUCCUUAAAAAGAAAUCUGGAAAACUUCCCAGAUUAUAUAUCUGUCCCUCUAACUUCAGAGGAUAUGACUGCACUAGGAGACCAUGAGUAAGAUUAAUACUUGGGGCCUCUCUUUCUCUUGUAGUGCUUUUAUUUUAGGUUUCUGAAAGUUCCUGGUUCUUGUAACAUGGUGCAAAUGUUAAGGAAAAUAAAUAAUACAUAUGCAUACA